GCCGUAUGCUCGUCUGCCUACAAAGGCAAUA
rnacentral:sRNA from 1 species